AGAGUUUGAUCCUGGCUCAGAACGAACGCUGGCGGCGCGUCUUAAGCAUGCAAGUCGGGCGGCAAGGCAGUGCUUGCACUGCCCCAGAGCGGCGGACUGGUGAGUAACGCGUGGGUGACGCACCCCCCGGGCGGGGAUAGCCUGUGGAAACACAGGGUAAUACCGGAUACGGUCCCGUAGGCUGGAGCUACGGGAGGAAAGGAGCUUCGGCUCCGCCGGGGGAGCGGCCUGCGGCCCAUCAGCUUGUUGGCGGGGUAAAGGCCCACCAAGGCUACGACGGGUACCCGGCCUGAGAGGGCGACCGGGCACAUUGGGACUGAGAUACGGCCCAGACUCCUACGGGAGGCAGCAGCUAAGAAUAUUCCGCAAUGGACGAAAGUCUGACGGAGCGACGCCGCGUGGACGAUGAAGGCCGGAAGGUUGUAAAGUCCUUUUGGGGUCGAGGAAGGCCUCUGGAAGAGAAUGUCCGGAGGGUGACGGUAGACCGUGAAUAAGCACCGGCUAAUUACGUGCCAGCAGCCGCGGUAACACGUAAGGUGCAAGCGUUGUUCGGAUUCAUUGGGCGUAAAGGGCAUGUAGGCGGCUCAGCAAGCCUGGGGUGAAAUUGCGCGGCCUAACCGCGUAGCUGCCCCGGGAACUGCAGGGCUGGAGUCACUGAAGGGGAGCCGGAAUUCCAGGUGUAGGGGUGAAAUCUGUAGAUAUCUGGAAGAACACCGAUGGCGAAGGCAGGCUCCUGGCGGAUGACUGACGCUGAGGUGCGAAGGUGCGGGGAGCGAACAGGAUUAGAUACCCUGGUAGUCCGCACA
rnacentral:rRNA from 1 species